CCCUUAGAUGUUCUGGGCCGCACGCGCGCUACACUGACGGAGUCAACGAGUUGUCCUGCAUCGGAAGGUGUGGGUAAUCUUUUGAAACUUCGUCGUGCUGGGGAUAGAUCUUUGCAAUUUUCGAUCUUGAACGAGGAAUUCCUAGUAAGCGUGAUUCAUCAGAUCGCGUUGAUUACGUCCCUGCCCUUUGUACACACCGCCCGUCGCUACUACCGAUUGAAUGGUUUAGUGAGGCCUCGGGACUGGCGCGCUCGAGUAGCAAUACACCUGCGCGCCGGGAACUUGGUCAAACUUGAUCAUUUAGAGGAAGUAAAGGUCGUAACA
rnacentral:rRNA from 1 species